CAAUAGCGUAUAUUUAAGUUGUUGCAGUUAAAAAGCUCGUAGUUGGAUUUCGGGUGGGACGCAGCGGUCUCGCAUUGCGUUUGUACUGCUGCAGCCCUCCUUCUUGCCGGGGGCGGCCUCUCGGACUUCACUGUCUGGGGGUCAGAAUCGGCGAUGUUACUUUGAGUAAAUUAGAGUGUUCAAAGCAAGCUUACGCUCUGAAUAUAAUAGCAUGGGAUAACACGACAGGACUCUGGCCUAUCGUGUUGGUCUAUAGGACCAGAGUAAUGAUUAAGAGGGACAGUCGGGGGCAUUCGUAUUCCGUUGUCAGAGGUGAAAUUCUUGGAUUUACGGAAGACGAACAUCUGCGAAANCANNNGCGAAGGAUGUUUUCAUNGA
rnacentral:rRNA from 1 species